CUUAUUUUAAUUCAAUUCAAUAUACGCAGUAGAGAAUACAUAGGUAGUCGUUAGAAAAUCGUUAUGAAUGUUAUAAUGUCUUCUUUCGGGAAAUGGCAACAUACCAAACACCAAAAAUGUCACCGUACAGCGUGCACGAUGUUACAAAAUGAAACUGCAUUGAAUAUUUUAUGGCCGUUAUUAUUAUUAUUUCCGUGGUUUGAGUUUUUUAGCGGGGAAAUCAUUUACAAAUGGCAAAUUGCAGCCAACAGAGUACAUUGCUGUAUAUAUCGGUUGGUCAUCUCCGUCAUUGUGCAUGCGUACGAUUUUCAUUAGUUUGAUUUAGGUUAACAAAUGCCAUUUGAAAAAUAAAAUUAAUUUAAAAAAACUGUUGUUAAUAGCCAGACCAUAGAAAUUAAUGAACCACAGUUUAUUAAUUUGCAAACGAAUUGAUGUAAUUUAUACUUUCAAUAUG